CCUACGGGAGGCAGCAGUGAGGAAUAUUGGUCAAUGGACGAGAGUCUGAACCAGCCAAGUAGCGUGAAGGAUGACUGCCCUAUGGGUUGUAAACUUCUUUUAUAUGGGAAUAAAAUGUUCCACGUGUGGGAUUUUGUAUGUACCAUAUGAAUAAGGCUCGGCUAACUCCGUGCCAGCAGCCGCGGUAAUACGGAGUAUCCGAGCGUUAUCCGGAUUUAUUGGGUUUAAAGGGAGCGUAGGUGGAUUGUUAAGUCAGUUGUGAAAGUUUGCGGCUCAACCGUAAAAUUGCAGUUGAAACUGGCAGUCUAGAGUACAGUAGAGGUGGGCGGAAUUCGUGGUGUAGCGGUGAAAUGCUUAGAUAUCACGAAGAACUCCGAUUGCGAAGGCAGCUCACUGGACUGCAACUGACACUGAGGCUCGAAAGUGUGGGUAUCAAACAGGAUUAGAUACCCGAGUAGUC
rnacentral:rRNA from 1 species